rnacentral:rRNA from 1 species
UUCCAGACUCCUACGGGAGGCAGCAGUGAGGAAUAUUGGUCAAUGGGCGAGAGCCUGAACCAGCCAAGUCGCGUGAAGGAUGACGGCCCUACGGGUUGUAAACUUCUUUUGUCAGGGAGCAAUUGGGUCCACGCGUGGGCUUAGCGAGAGUACCUGAAGAAAAAGCAUCGGCUAACUCCGUGCCAGCAGCCGCGGUAAUACGGAGGAUCCGAGCGUUAUCCGGAUUUAUUGGGUUUAAAGGGAGCGUAGGUGGAUUGUUAAGUCAGUUGUGAAAGUUUGCGGCUCAACCGUAAAAUUGCAGUUGAAACUGGCAGUCUUGAGUACAGUAGAGGUGGGCGGAAUUCGUGGUGUAGCGGUGAAAUGCUUAGAUAUCACGAAGAACUCCGAUUGCGAAGGCAGCUCACUGGACUGCAACUGACACUGAGGCUCGAAAGUGUGGGUAUCAAACAGGAUUAGAUACCCUAGUAAC